rnacentral:rRNA from 1 species
UUUAUGGAGAGUUUGAUCCUGGCUCAGGAUGAACGCUGGCGGCGUGCCUAAUACAUGCAAGUCGAGCGAACGGACGAGAAGCUUGCUUCUCUGAUGUUAGCGGCGGACGGGUGAGUAACACGUGGAUAACCUACCUAUAAGACUGGGAUAACUUCGGGAAACCGGAGCUAAUACCGGAUAAUAUUUUGAACCGCAUGGUUCAAAAGUGAAAGACGGUCUUGCUGUCACUUAUAGAUGGAUCCGCGCUGCAUUAGCUAGUUGGUAAGGUAACGGCUUACCAAGGCAACGAUGCAUAGCCGACCUGAGAGGGUGAUCGGCCACACUGGAACUGAGACACGGUCCAGACUCCUACGGGAGGCAGCAGUAGGGAAUCUUCCGCAAUGGGCGAAAGCCUGACGGAGCAACGCCGCGUGAGUGAUGAAGGUCUUCGGAUCGUAAAACUCUGUUAUUAGGGAAGAACAUAUGUGUAAGUAACUGUGCACAUCUUGACGGUACCUAAUCAGAAAGCCACGGCUAACUACGUGCCAGCAGCCGCGGUAAUACGUAGGUGGCAAGCGUUAUCCGGAAUUAUUGGGCGUAAAGCGCGCGUAGGCGGUUUUUUAAGUCUGAUGUGAAAGCCCACGGCUCAACCGUGGAGGGUCAUUGGAAACUGGAAAACUUGAGUGCAGAAGAGGAAAGUGGAAUUCCAUGUGUAGCGGUGAAAUGCGCAGAGAUAUGGAGGAACACCAGUGGCGAAGGCGACUUUCUGGUCUGUAACUGACGCUGAUGUGCGAAAGCGUGGGGAUCAAACAGGAUUAGAUACCCUGGUAGUCCACGCCGUAAACGAUGAGUGCUAAGUGUUAGGGGGUUUCCGCCCCUUAGUGCUGCAGCUAACGCAUUAAGCACUCCGCCUGGGGAGUACGACCGCAAGGUUGAAACUCAAAGGAAUUGACGGGGACCCGCACAAGCGGUGGAGCAUGUGGUUUAAUUCGAAGCAACGCGAAGAACCUUACCAAAUCUUGACAUCCUUUGACAACUCUAGAGAUAGAGCCUUCCCCUUCGGGGGACAAAGUGACAGGUGGUGCAUGGUUGUCGUCAGCUCGUGUCGUGAGAUGUUGGGUUAAGUCCCGCAACGAGCGCAACCCUUAAGCUUAGUUGCCAUCAUUAAGUUGGGCACUCUAAGUUGACUGCCGGUGACAAACCGGAGGAAGGUGGGGAUGACGUCAAAUCCGAUCAUGCCCCUUAUGAUUUGGGCUACACACGUGCUACAAUGGACAAUACAAAGGGCAGCGAAACCGCGAGGUCAAGCAAAUCCCAUAAAGUUGUUCUCAGUUCGGAUUGUAGUCUGCAACUCGACUACAUGAAGCUGGAAUCGCUAGUAAUCGUAGAUCAGCAUGCUACGGUGAAUACGUUCCCGGGUCUUGUACACACCGCCCGUCACACCACGAGAGUUUGUAACACCCGAAGCCGGUGGAGUAACCUUUUAGGAGCUAGCCGUCGAAGGUGGGACAAAUGAUUGGGGUGAAGUCGUAACAAGGUAGCCGUAUCGGAAGGUGCGGCUGGAUCACCUCCUUUCU